GGAACGGGCCUUUCAGGCAUCCUCUCCUAAAACUUUCAAGGCCGCCCUUCCCGGGCGGCUUUUUUUUUGGUCUGA
rnacentral:sRNA from 1 species